rnacentral:rRNA from 1 species
GAGUGAUGAGGCCUUCGGGUUGUAAAGCUCUGUUGUCAGGGAAGAACUCCUACCCUAGUAUAUGCCGGGACCUUGACGGUACCUACCCAAAAAGCCCCGGCUAACUACGUGCCAGCAGCCGC